rnacentral:rRNA from 1 species
AGAGUUUGAUCCUGGCUCAGGAUGAACGCUGGCGGCGUGCCUAAUACAUGCAAGUCGAGCGAACGGACGAGAAGCUUGCUUCUCUGAUGUUAGCGGCGGACGGGUGAGUAACACGUGGAUAACCUACCUAUAAGACUGGGAUAACUUCGGGAAACCGGAGCUAAUACCGGAUAAUAUUUUGAACCGCAUGGUUCAAAAGUAAAAGACGGUCUUGCUGUCACUUAUAGAUGGAUCCGCGCUGCAUUAGCUAGUUGGUAAGGUAACGGCUUACCAAGGCAACGAUGCAUAGCCGACCUGAGAGGGUGAUCGGCCACACUGGAACUGAGACACGGUCCAGACUCCUACGGGAGGCAGCAGUAGGGAAUCUUCCGCAAUGGGCGAAAGCCUGACGGAGCAACGCCGCGUGAGUGAUGAAGGUCUUCGGAUCGUAAAACUCUGUUAUUAGGGAAGAACAUAUGUGUAAGUAACUGUGCACAUCUUGACGGUACCUAAUCAGAAAGCCACGGCUAACUACGUGCCAGCAGCCGCGGUAAUACGUAGGUGGCAAGCGUUAUCCGGAAUUAUUGGGCGUAAAGCGCGCGUAGGCGGUUUUUUAAGUCUGAUGUGAAAGCCCACGGCUCAACCGUGGAGGGUCAUUGGAAACUGGAAAACUUGAGUGCAGAAGAGGAAAGUGGAAUUCCAUGUGUAGCGGUGAAAUGCGCAGAGAUAUGGAGGAACACCAGUGGCGAAGGCGACUUUCUGGUCUGUAACUGACGCUGAUGUGCGAAAGCGUGGGGAUCAAACAGGAUUAGAUACCCUGGUAGUCCACGCCGUAAACGAUGAGUGCUAAGUGUUAGGGGGUUUCCGCCCCUUAGUGCUGCAGCUAACGCAUUAAGCACUCCGCCUGGGGAGUACGACCGCAAGGUUGAAACUCAAAGGAAUUGACGGGGACCCGCACAAGCGGUGGAGCAUGUGGUUUAAUUCGAAGCAACGCGAAGAACCUUACCAAAUCUUGACAUCCUUUGACAACUCUAGAGAUAGAGCCUUCCCCUUCGGGGGACAAAGUGACAGGUGGUGCAUGGUUGUCGUCAGCUCGUGUCGUGAGAUGUUGGGUUAAGUCCCGCAACGAGCGCAACCCUUAAGCUUAGUUGCCAUCAUUAAGUUGGGCACUCUAAGUUGACUGCCGGUGACAAACCGGAGGAAGGUGGGGAUGACGUCAAAUCAUCAUGCCCCUUAUGAUUUGGGCUACACACGUGCUACAAUGGACAAUACAAAGGGCAGCGAAACCGCGAGGUCAAGCAAAUCCCAUAAAGUUGUUCUCAGUUCGGAUUGUAGUCUGCAACUCGACUACAUGAAGCUGGAAUCGCUAGUAAUCGUAGAUCAGCAUGCUACGGUGAAUACGUUCCCGGGUCUUGUACACACCGCCCGUCACACCACGAGAGUUUGUAACACCCGAAGC